rnacentral:lncRNA from 1 species
UUUUUUUUUUUUUUUUCCUGACUGAUGCUGUGAUAAUUUAUGCCAAAGUAAUGUCUUUUUUUUUUUUUUGUGCGACGCUGAAGUAAUGUCUAGUCGUCUAGAUUGAAUAUUUAACGACGUGAGCGGUUUGUAAUAUACUAAUAUACAACAUAUAUAAUAUUAAAUGGCUUCGCUGUACUUUCUAAAGCCGAUAAAAGGUAAAUGCAUAUGAUGCAGAGUUCAUAUCCAUUAAGAAACAAAUUACCACUAAAUAAGUUCACAUUUUUUUUUUCACAUCUUGUUUUCUGCAGCCAGCAAAGUUUCGAUCAGAGAGAGAGAGAGAGAGAUCUGCUCAGAGAACAAGAGAACUGUCGAAUUCAUCAGCACCAAUGGCUCGUGGAUCGUUUAUGAUCUGGUAUUACUUUUAGUAAGUAAGUAGUUAUUUGUUUUCUUACCCAGCUUCAUAAAUAAUAAUACAAGUAGCUGUCGUCUGAGAAAAAUCCGGUGAAAGAUUGUGGGUAUUGAUUCCGAGGCACAUGUAAUGAUUAAUUUUAAUAGUUUUGUUAGCACGCUUCUAGCACUUUCCUUUGUUUCUUUGGAUUCAAAUAUGGAUGGAUUACUUCUCUUAAACUAACAUCUGAAUUUGAACAUUUGAAAACCAUGUGAAGAUAUAUGUUGAUUUUUAUAAUGUUAUCAAGCUGUUAUAGUACAGUUGUUUAAUACCAAUAAAGAAAUGGAUGCUCGUAGUGUCUUUAUAAAAUCACAUUUUCUUUAAAUCAGAGAGGAGGAAAGAUCUACUACAAAGCAGUUUUGGCUUCAUCGGCAGAGCAAUGUCUAGUGGAUUGCUUCUCUUCUGGUUAAUCUCCUCUUUUCAUCUCAUAGCUUUGUCAACUUCAACAACAAAGGAAACAAGUUUUGUCUUCAACGGCUUUGGAAAAGCGGAUCUUUCUGUAGAUGGGUCAGCCACGUUGCUUCGCGGUGGAUUAUUGCAGCUUGCUAAAGACACGGAGCAUCAAAUGGGCCACGCGUUCACCAAGAAGCCAAUCGAGUUCAGCUCCUCUAAGCCGCUGUCAUUCUCAACACACUUCGUCUGUGCUCUGGUGCCUAAGCCAGGAGUCGAAAGCGGGCACGGCAUCACCUUCGUGAUAUCCCCUUCCGUGGAUUUCACUCGGGCGCAGCCGAACCGGUACUUUGGGAUCUUCAACGCCUCAACGGGUGGAUCUAACUCUUCCCGCCUCUUUGCUGUUGAGCUCGACACUAUAAAAAACGGAGAGUUCGAGGAGACGAACCAUAAUCAUGUCGGGAUUGAUGAGAACGAUCCCAUUUCAGUGGAGUCAGCACCAGCUUCUUACUUCUCCGAGACGCAACAGAGGAAUGUGAGUCUUAACCUCUCUAGUGGAGAUACUAUACAGGUUUGGGUUGACUACGAGCGAACUCUACUCAAUGUCUCCGUGGCUCCUCUUAAUGUUGUCAAGAAGCCACGUCAGCCUCUGUUGUCACGAGCCAUGAACCUCUCAGAUUUGUUUCGAAGCACAAGAUUGUUCGUUGGGUUCUCUGCAGCAACGGGGUCAGCAAUCAGCUACCACUACCUUCUUGGGUGGAGUUUCAGCACAAGCGGGGAACUACUGCAGCCACUUGACAUCUCUAAGCUUCCUCGAGUUCCUCGGCAUAGAGUUAAGCAUAAGAAACAGUAUGCUCUGAUCGUCGGUCUCCCCGCUGCUCUUGCUAUCAUUGUAAUAGCUCUUCUUGCAGGAGUUUAUUACCACAGGAAGAAAAAGUUUGCGGAAGUGAGCGAGCCUUGGGAGGAGGAGUACGGUACACACCGCUUCUCAUACAAAUCUUUAUACAUAGCAACGAGAGGGUUCCACAGGGAUGGGUUUCUAGGAAGAGGUGGGUUUGGAGUAGUGUACAGAGGAGAUCUCCCUGAGAGCAAACCUAUAGCUGUGAAGAGAGUCUCUCAUAACGGUGAGGAAGGGAUGAAGCAGUUUGUGGCUGAAGUCGUGAGCAUGAGAAGUCUCAAACACAGGAACCUCGUUCCGCUUCUUGGGUAUUGUAGGAGAAAAGGAGAGCUUUUGCUUGUUUCCGAGUUCAUGCCCAACGGGAGUCUUGACCAGCACUUGUUUGAUGACCAAAGUCUUGUUCUUUCUUGGUCACAAAGACUUGUCAUUCUCAAAGGUAUAGCCUCUGCGCUCUUUUAUCUCCACACGGGAGCUGAACAAGUCGUGCUGCAUCGAGACAUCAAAGCUUCCAAUGUUAUGUUAGACGCUGAGCUGAACGGCAGGUUGGGAGAUUUUGGUAUGGCUAGGUUUCAUGACCAUGGAGGCAACGCAGCCACGACAGCAGCGGUUGGUACUGUAGGGUACAUGGCUCCUGAGCUAAUAACAAUGGGAGCUUCCACUGUAACCGAUGUUUAUGCAUUUGGUGUUUUUAUGCUUGAAGUAGCGUGUGGAAGGAAACCUGUGGAGCCUGGGAUGGAAGCUGAGAAACGGUUUCUCAUCAAAUGGGUUUGUGAAUGCUGGAAGAAAGAUUGUUUGCUUGAUGCUAGAGAUCCCAGAUUUGGAGGAGAAUUCGUACCCGAGGAGGUCGAGUUGGUUAUGAAAAUCGGGUUGCUGUGUACAAACAUCGUGCCAGAAUCACGACCAACAAUGGAACAAGUGGUUCUUUACUUAAACGAGAACCUGCCGUUGCCGGAUUUCUCGCCAUAUACGCUUGGGAUCGGCUCAUUUACUCCAGUAGUGGUGGAUGCAGCCUCUCUUACAGGCACAUACACUUCAAGGAACUGGUCUGCUCCUUGGGCAUCUUCUUCAUCAGCCAACAACUCAGAGGAGCAUGAGCAACCAUUGGAAUCCAAGAACUCUCUAAACGUAGUUGCAGAAUCAGAAGACAUCGAGGCUCGCCUCUCCAAGCCAACCAGUGGCUGCUGAUACAGUUUAUGAAGUAUCCAUUGGAUGUUAAUUUGAACACGUAGGUGCUGCUUAUUGGUGAAUGAUCUCAUUGGGAGUUCAUUCGCUGAGGAUACUCAUGUAUAACUUGUGAAUGUUUCAAUUUCAGGUCUUCUUCAUUGUAUUUCAGCAUAUGUUUUUUUUUUUGAAAACUUUCUAGUGAUCUGGUGACUAUUGUCUUUUUUUCCACUCAAUGUACAUUCUUUCUUUUUUUGGGGGGAUUAACUGAACACCACCACUUGUAAGUUGUAACCAACCGACAAAAAGAUGUUCAUUGGAUGAUGAAUUAAGGAAUAGUCUUAGAUAUGGACUGCUCUGUUCCAUGUGAAGACUGGUCCCGUUUAAGUAAGUGAUUGUGACUCUGCAUGCUGUGAGAGACUUGGUCAGCUUCUAUGUUCUUUGCGUUUCAUUUACUUGGAAAAGUAACAUAAAAUUAAAUGUAUCUUAUCCAAAAUUUGUGGAGGAAGAAAAGUUGGUUUAUUGUCUCUCUUGAGAUGCUAAAGGGGAGACUGCCCAAGUUAUUUGCUGAAGUACCAGAGAUAUUAAUUAGAGUAGAGGUUGAUAACUAGCUCUACUCCCAAGGCAUUUUCAGAUUUCUGCUAGAUGUAAGUGCUUCUUGUACUUGUCAUGCUUUUGUUUCUUUUGUAUAUUGGGAAUAUAUAUAUGCGUUGGCUGGCUACAGUUACUUAGGAGAAAUUGUACAAGACAUUGAAUGUUUAAAAUUGAGCUCCUGAAUUUAUGAGCAGUCUUUUUUUUUGGCAGCUUUGGAGGAUGGUUCUCACAGAAGAGAAAAAAUAUGAACCAUUAAAUUCAGACACUCUUUCAAUAGUAACGGCUUGCAGCAGGCUUCAUCUAGUUUUGAUCAUGUUCUGCUGCCUUCAUCUGGUUUCCCUGUCAGGUCAACAAGAAACCGGGUUUGUCUACAAUGGCUUCCAUCAAGCAGAUCUCCAUAUUGAUGGAAUCGCUAGAGUCCUUCCUGGUGGGAUUUUGCAGUUGACAAAUGAUUCACAGUUUAAAAUGGGUCAUGCUUUCUUCAACAUGCCAUUUGAUUUUGAUCCAUAUUAUACCAUCUCCUUCUAUACACAUUUUGUGUGUGCGUUGGUGCCUCUUCAGCUGGGAACUAGUGGCGGACACGGGGUGGCUUUUGUUUUAUCUCCUUCUAUGGAUCUCUCUCAUGCACUCCAAGCUCAGUACUUGGGCGUCUUCAGCAACCCCACAAAUGGAACUUCCCCUCCUCAGCUGAUAGCUAUUGAGCUUGAUACCAUUGAGUCAUUAGGAAUUGAUGUGGUGGAAAAGCCUCAUGUUGGGAUUGAUUUGAACAGCCCAACAUCUAUUGAAUCCACUCUCCCGUCUUACUUUUCCCAUGCCUUAGGGAAGAAUGUAAGCAUAAAUCUCCUGAGUGGUCUGCCUAUCCAGGUUUGGGUGGAUUACGAUGGAGCCUCCCUUAACGUUACUCUGGCCCCUAUAGAUAUACAGAAACCAGAUCAGCCUCUUAUGUCAAGGCCCAUCAAUCUUUCAGAAUUUUUUCAAAAUAAAAUGUUUGUUGGGUUCUCUGCAGCAACAGGGCAAUUGACCAGUAACCAAUUUAUACUUGGGUGGAGUUUCAGUAGAAGCAAAGAACUAUUACAGAACCUGGACCUCUCUAAGCUCCCUCAGGCUCCUCUUCCUAGAGAAAAACAACAUCCUCUUCUGUCUCCACCGCUUAUUGGUUUGGUCAUCUUAUCGGUGAUCCUAGUGCUGCUGGUUCUCGGAGUAGUUUAUUGGUACAGGAGAAACAAGUACGCGGAAGUGAGAGAAUCGUGGGAAAAGGAAUACGGUCCACAUAGAUUCUCCUACAAGUCUCUCUACAAAGCAACAAAUGGGUUUGGAAAAGAUUGUUGUGUUGGGAAAGGUGGGUUUGGAGAUGUGUACAAAGGAACUCUGCCCCUAAGUAGGCAUAUAGCUGUGAAAAGACUGUCACACAAUGCAGAGCAAGGAAUGAAACAGUUUGUGGCUGAAGUUGUGACUAUGGGAAGUUUACAGCACCGGAACUUGGUUCCUCUUCUCGGGUAUUGUAGGAGGAAAGGCGAGUUGCUUCUGGUCUCUGAGUACAUGCCCAACGGCAGUCUUGACAAGUACUUGUUUCAUGACCAAAACCCAUCUCCUUCAUGGUUGCAAAGGAUUUCUAUUCUUAAGGACAUCGCCUCGGCUCUAAAUUACCUUCAUACAGGAGCCACGCAAGCUGUUUUGCACCGGGAUAUUAAAUCUUCUAAUGUUAUGUUAGAUUCUGAUUUCAAUGGAAGAUUAGGAGAUUUUGGUAUGGCCAGGUUUCAUGACCCAAGAGCCAACUUAUCUGCAACAGCCGCUGUGGGAACCAUAGGUUACAUGGCACCUGAGCUAAUCACAAUGGGAACUUCUACAGAAACUGAUGUUUAUGCCUUUGGUGCUUUCCUUCUUGAAGUAAGUUGUGGGAGGCGGCCUGUGGAACCGGAGCUGCCAGUGGAAAAGCAAUACUUGAUCAAAUGGGUCUGUGUAUGCUGGAAACAGGCUUCUUUACUUGACACCAUAGAUCCAAGAUUGGGAGGAGAAACUUUAUUCAAGGAAGUUGAGAUGGUUCUUAAACUUGGAUUGCUCUGCACAAAUGCGAUACCAGAAGCAAGGCCUACCAUGGGACAAGUGGUGCAGUACCUAAACCUGGACCUACCCUUGCCAGAUUUCUCGCUGAAUAGUCCAGGUAUUGGAGCGUUUAUGCCAGUGUCAAUGGAACCAUCAUCUACCAUUAGUGCCUCCAAUUCAAGGAGCACAUCAAUACCUAUGUUUGUUACUCAUACAAUCCUGAGAGGGAGUGGUAGAUGAGAGAUAUAUUUAUGAAACUGUGUGUGCUCUGCAUCUAAUGUCUUGAGCUACUUAAAAUGUAUUUACCCAAGAAACAAUGGUGUUGGCGGUUAUAAUUGUAUCUGUGAUCUUGUGUGCAUAGUUUUUUUCAAGUGAGAAAGUGGCCAAAAGAGUUUAUAAGAUCGUAUAAUAUUGGUUAACUUUUUUUAUGUUAGUAGAUGAUCAUCAGUUGACAUUAAUAUAUUAGAUAGUUAACUCUUUUUUUUGCUUGUGAGGCUUGAACAAGUCUCUGUCCGUAGUAUUUGUUGACGUGAAACAAUGUGUUUAUUUGAAUUCGUUUGUACAUGAGCUAGUAGAGUUUGCUGUGUUUUCCAUUCUUGGUGUAAAAAAAUAUUGUACACUUACUAAGAACAAUGUAUUCACGUAACAUAUUCAUCUGAAACAUAGUAUGCUUAGUAAAUUAGAUUAAAGCAAACAGAACCUGAGAGUUUUCAAACUAAUCAGUGUCACCUCUUUUUCUAUGCAAGCGACUGUCGGCUGCGUCGAAAUUUUUGUCUUAUUCGAAGGAGUCCAACAACAGUGUUAAAUGGCCCAGAGAGAAAUCAAAGAGACACCAGCCCCUUUUAGUGUAAACGAGCCCAUUAGAUAGAUACUUUAAACGGUAAGAAACGUCCCACAUCGCCAUUCUAAGAAGAAGAAGCUCUGUUUAUAUAGGUCUCGAGUCUCGUACAUGAUUGUCCCUUCGGGGACAUCCGAUAAAAUUGGAACGAUACAGAGAAGAUUAGCAUGGCCCCUGCGCAAGGAUGACACGCACAAAUCGAGAAAUGGUCCAAAUUUUUUUUGUUUCCAAAAUUUUCUAGAAUUUCAGUUUUUGGUGAAGUUGCUACCUCAACCUCUGCUGCAAAACUGUCUAUUGGGAAAAAGAAAAUGUGGAGUCGUUUUAAUGAAAAUCUUGUCAAGUAAUCCCCCUGAGAAGGCAAAGAUGGUUCUAAAAUUUGGGGGUGGGGGGUGGUGCUAUGCCAGAAUCAAGACCUGAAACUCCCUUGUCUAGCCAGAUUCUCCAGGAAUGGUGGGGGCUUUUAUACCACUCUGGAUCUUAAACUCUUGAGCCAACUAUGUCGUUGCUGAUUGAUGAUGAUAUACGCAUCUACUAACAUGCUGUUGUACUAAACAAACUAGGCUUACCGUAAAAAGGAGAUGAAAAUUAACAAUUAACAAAUCAACUUACAACAUUAUUAUCCUUCUUUGGAGAAAAGCGACUAAUCUCUCUGUCUAUAUAACCCUAUGAUUUGGAGAAAAAGUUGAGAAAUCAAACAUAAACUUCUCUCUACACAAAAAGAAAAAAGAAGCAAUUUGAGGUCAGUGCGAAGGCCUUCUGAGAGAACAAAAAAAAGGAUCUCAUCUUUAUUCACCAGAAACUCCGAGGUAUCAAAGACGACCAUCUUGACUCUUUCCCUGCAUCAGAAACAGAUCCAGCAGAGUACCUCCGAGACUUAUGAAUCCUCAUUUUAACGCCAGGAACUUUGCGUGCAAUCGCUUGCCAUAUCAUUUGGACUGCAUCAUCAACCCUUGACGGGAAAUGGAACUCAUAGAACUUCUCCACUUCCUUCAAUCUAUUCCACAUCCUUGUCCACUCCUCCUUGGUGAUUCCCCGAAUCAAGUUAACCAGAAAGUUGUCUUUCAAGGCAUCAGAGGUGCGGACAAACACGGAGAACUCAGAGUAAUCAAUAACGUCCUCGAAAGGAAGCUCAAUGUCGUCACUGAUAAUGACAGGCACGCAGUGGCUUGCAAUGGCGUCAAAGAGACGGUUAGAUGAAGGAGUGUCUCCGGCAAUGUUGAGGCAGAACUUGGAGUUGUGCAUUCCUUGGCUUGCUUUGUUUAUGCCUCCGUUUCUCACGCUCCCAAACGAGAAAUGCACGUCUUUCUCAUCUUGCAACAGGUAGAACAACUCCUGACGCACAAACCCACCCUGAGAUGUAUAUAUAUAUAUAUGAGCAAAAAGACUAUCUAAGAACUCAGCAAAAGUAAAAGGGAGUAGAACUCACAUCUUUCCUGUAGAUGGCACCCUGAAAGUAAAGCAGAAUGGGUCUGCUAUCGAAACCAGAGGAAUCGUUUUCGUACGUUUUGAUGACAUGCUUAUAAGGCGCAAUGACAUCUUUCUCAACGUUUGCAACAGUAGGAGGGUACCUUCCGAAGUCAGAGAGUAUAAACAUGGCAGGGAAGAGCUUGUUUCUAGCAUCCAACAUGCUAUUGGGAUGAUGAGCAAGGACCACAUGGUCUCUACCACCUGACCUCUUCCACUCCUCCUGAGCAGUCAAGAAAGCAACAAGCUUUCCUUGCAAAUCCUUGUUUCUGCUUGUUUUCUGGUGAGGAUUCACCUUGGAAAACCGAUUGUAACUCAAGGAGGAGAAAAAGGGAACAAAGAUAACAUCAGCGUCGGUAGAGUUAUAAACUCUUUUGGCAGCAAUGGGUCUAGCACCGUUUGGAUACUCGGACGCAAGAAGAUCCAAGGUGAGCCAAUACUCAAUGCUGUGCUGCAAAUUCAAGCCACCAGGGUAAGGAGGUAUGAACUUGUGAACAUCGGGCCAUACACUCUUUCUCUCAGGCUUCCAAUUUAGCAAUCCGAAAUGAAACUCCGGAUCCAUGUCGUACAUGAAGACCUUGAGAGGACCUGUUCUCUUCUCAUCUUCAACGCAUCUGCAAUCAUCUUUCUUCGCGCCGGGAUCGCGAACGAAUGAUUUGGAUUGGAAUGUGGAGCCAAGGAAGCGGUUGUGAGCGGUGGAGCGCAACACAAAGUAGCAAGAGAGAGCGAAGAGGACCGUUGUGAAGACGAAUAGGCAAAGAAGCAAGUUUCGGGCUACGUACCCGAUCGUGGAACCGUUCUUCUCCGGCAUUGCCAUAAGGGGAGAGAAAUCAAACACACGCAGCUAAGCUCACAUAAGGAGGGAGAGCGUGCUCAGACUGUUCUUCUCUCUCUCUGACACCAAUUUCAUCUCUCAUGGAGCGGCGGACAAGGAGGAGAGUAACAAACGGAACGGUGCUUAUUAAGAGCUUCAGGGAUCGUCAACUUUCCUAUUAUUAACUCUUUUAAUUUGUUUUGUUUUGUUUUUCUAAGAGUAAUUAUUACUAUUUAUUUUUUUUGUACAAGGUAGACCCAACAAUAAUUCAGAGUCCAGUUAUUGAAAUAGCUAAAGCAAGAUGGGACCAAGUUUGGGCCCAAAACUUGAAAGUCGAAAUAACUUUCUUUUGCCAAAAAGUAAAGAUGGGACCAAGUUUUUUGUCAAAUAUAACAUGUGUGUAUGUUUUAAACAAGAUGGGACCAAGUUUGGAUCCAACACCUAACUAGAAUCAGGUCAGCCCACGAGAAUAGUUUUUCACUUUUUCUUGAUAUUUUUUGUAAAUACCAGUCAAUUUUUCAAACAACACAUACCUGUUUAGGUCCUCUGUUUACAGAUCCUAAAUGCUAAAUGUAAUACUUAAAAUCACUAUCUAAAAUGAUAAAUAUCACAUUUGGAUUCAGAUAUUUAAAACAAUUGUGGAUGAUUUGGACAGUGUUGAAUUGUUUUUUUUUAAAUUAAACUAUGCAAACAGGUAAUUUGAUAGCAGUUGGUUGUCAAAAAAAAAAAAAAACCCAAGUCCACACCUUCAAUAAUCAAUUCGGAUAACUCGGUUCGUGUAUACAGCAAGCAUGGGUUUGACAAAGAGAGCAGGGGCUUUACCGGAUGCUUCUUAAGCACGUUACCACCAUUUCUUCUUCCCUUGGCCUCGCAACUUAACUACUCAAAAGUUCACAACACACCUUCUUCUCUAACUAAAGUCGUAUAGCUGCAGAGUCUUUGUCUUUUCAAGACGUUUCCUGCCCAAUAAUUGUUUCCUUUGAGGGUAUUUCGCUUUAAUUUACUCCGACUUGAUAUUUGUUAAAAUAAGAGUAGACCAAAUACUUUUCUUAAUGACUUUUUAGUUUUUAGUAGAUUUUUUAUUUUUUAUUUUAAAUCAAAGAAGACUUGUAUAUUAUUUGUAGAGUAACUCUCACGGUUAGAUAUAAAAAACAAUUCUAAAGUCAACUCUCUGAUAUAUGCCUAGAGGGAAUAUUUUUCCUGAACUUUGAACGUCGAAACUGUCAUUUGAGUCUCUCCCUUAUGCAUUAUAUGACCUGAUCAAACAAGGCUUACCUCUUGUGUCUCGUUAACCAAUGGCUCAAAGAUUGCAUCUUCUUCUCUCUAUAAUCUUGUUUGUUAAUUUGAUUCGCUUUUCAAAUCAACAAGACUUAAGUUUCGUCUACAACGGCUUUAACCAAGGCCAAGGCGAUCUUCUCCUUGACGGUCUUGCAAAAAUCCAACUCCCAGGUGGACUUUUGCAGCUAACCGAUGCCACGGCUCAGCAAAAGGGUCACGCUUUCUUCAACCGUCCGUUCGAUUUUGGUUCAGCUUCUUCAUCACAGUCUCUAUCUUUCUGGACUCAUUUCGUUUGCGCUUUAGUCCCUAAACCAGGAGCUGACGGUGGUCACGGGGUUGCCUUUGUUCUAUCCUCUUCAAAGGAUCUCACACAAGCAGACCCAACUCAAUACUUAGGACUCUUCAACAUCUCAACUAAUGGGUCUCCUUCUUCUCAGAUUCUAGCCAUCGAGCUGGAUACCGUCGAAAGCGCAGAGUUUGACGACAUCGACAAAAACCAUGUCGGUAUAGACGCAAACAAUCUCCACUCUGUUGUGUCUGCUCCAGCUUCUUAUUAUUCCGACAGAGAAGGAACGAACAAAAGCUUGACACUCUUGAGUGGAGAUCCUAUCCAGGUGUGGAUUGACUACGAAGAUACUCUACUCAAUGUUACAUUAGCUCCUCUAAGAAACGAGAAGCCAAGUAAGCCUCUUUUGUCAAGAAACAUCAAUCUCACAUCAGUUUUCCCGGAUGGAAAAGCAUUUGUCGGGUUCUCUGCAGCAACUGGGUCACUGAUCAGUUACCAGUACAUCUUAGGAUGGAGUUUCAGCACAAGCAGAGUUUCAUUACAGAGCCUUGACUUCUCUAAACUUCCCACGGUCCCUCGUCCUAAGAUACCGAAGAAAACAUCUUCUCUGCUUAUUAUUCUACUGGUUAUACUCGGCCUCCUAGUAAUGGCUGUUCUUGUAGGAGUUUGUGUGUACAGGAGAAAGAAGUAUGCAGAAGUCAAAGAGCCAUGGGAAAAGCCAUACGGUCCACUUCGCUAUACCUACAAGUCUUUAUAUAAAGCAACAGGAGGGUUUAGAAGAGAUGGCCGUCUUGGAAAAGGAGGUUUUGGAGAAGUCUUUAAAGGAACUAUGCCUCUUGUAGGAGAUAUAGCGGUUAAGAGACUAUCACACGAUGCUGAGCAAGGGAUGAAACAGUUCGUUGCUGAAGUUGUGACGAUGGGUUGUUUACAGCACAAGAACUUGGUUCCUCUUCUAGGGUAUUGCAGGCGAAAAGGCGAGUUGUUGCUGGUCUCCAAGUACAUGGAAGGAGGUAGCGUUGAUCAAUAUUUGUUUCAAGAUGAUAAACCACCUCUUUCGUGGUCUCAAAGACUUGCGAUUUUGAGAGAUAUUGCAUCUGCGCUAUGUUACUUGCAUACGGGAGCUAGUCAAGUUGUUUUGCACCGAGAUAUCAAAGCUUCUAAUGUCAUGUUAAAUGGAAACUUACAAGCGUUUUUAGGAGAUUUUGGGAUGGCUAGGUUUGAUGACCGUGGCGCUAACCUCUUAGCAACGGCAGCUGUUGGAACCAUAGGUUACAUGGCCCUCGAGCUAACAUCAUCAGGAACUUCAACUAGAACCGAUGUGUAUGCAUUUGGUGCAUUCAUGCUUGAAGUAACGUGUGGGAGGAGACCAUUUGAUCCCGAGAUGCCGGUUGAGAAGAGACAUUUGGUCAAAUGGGUUGUUGAAUGCUGGAAAAGGGGCUCUUUGGUUGAUGCUAUAGAUAGAAAAUUGGGAGGUAAAUUCAUACCUGGGGAGGUCGAAAUGGUUCUGAAACUCGGCUUGCUCUGUACAAGUAUUGUACCUGAUUCACGACCAUCAAUGGAACAAGUGGUGCAAUACAUAAACAGACACCAAAUGUUGCCUGAUUUAUCUCCAGAUACUCCCGGAAUUGGAGUUUCCACGCCAGUGUUAAUGGGAGUACCUUUCCUGGCAAUUUCUUCCACUUCAGGGAUCUCAUCAGCAUCACCACCAUCGGUUUCUUCUUCCCCUGCCAACAACUCAAUGUUCAUUUCUCACACAAUCAUGUAUGGUGAUGGAAGAUGAAAUCUGACAACUCGAUCGCGUGUCUCUUUGUCCGUAAUCUAUAAACUCUGUAUAGUUGUAUUAGUUCUGUUGUAGAGAAAUCUUUAUUUGGGACACAAGUAAUCUAUGUAAAAGUAAGAUGUAUAAAUAUUUCUCUAAAUGGCAUGUAUUGUUUAUGUGAACUAGGUGGUGUUUUAUAAAUCUAUACUAUAAACAUUAUAAAUACUUUUAUAUAUAACUCUAUACCAUAUACCAUAUAAAAUACAAAAAUAUCUUAAUUUAAAAAAUUAUAUUAAACACGAAUUGAGAACUUCAUAUUUUAAUUUUUAAAAAUUUGCAACAAAUUUUCAAGAAAAAGUAUAAAAUUUAAACCUAUUAAGAAUCCCCCAUUGAAAAUUUUGUUAUCAAUAAUUUAAGAAUUUUAUUAUAAAAAUAUAUGAAUAUAUACUAAUAAAAGGAAUCUUUUGAGGCUCCAUAAAGCGUCCACAUAAUCAUAUAAUCAUAUUAUUCGAAAAAGCCACGUGACAUCAUUACUAUUAUUACAUUAUAACAUUAAAUCACAUUAUUACCAUUUAAAUAUAUAAAUAUAUAAAUACGAAAUAUAAGUAAAUAUACAUUUAUAUAUAUAAAUAUAUAAUAUACGAAAUGUAAGUAAAUGGAAAUUUAAAUUUUUAAAUAUAUAAUAUACGAAAAUAAUAAUAAUAAGUAAAUACACAAUUCAAAAAAUAGAAAUACUACAUUAAACAUCUAUCUUAAAAUGCAAAAAUUAAAUAUAAGUAAAUAUACAUUUAAAUAUGUAAAUAUAUAAUAUAUGAAAAAAUAAUAAUAAGUAAGUACACAAUUUAGAAAAUAGAAAUACUAUAUUAAAAAUGUAAUAUACAAAACUUUUUGAGACUCCAUAGAGCGUCCGUCCACAUCACUAUAGAAUCUUUAUUCGAAAAGAAGUCACGUGGCGUCAUUACUAUUAUUACAUUAAAUCACAUUAUUACCAUUUAAAUAUAUAAUAUAUGAAAUAUAAGUAAAUAUACAUUUAUAUAUAUAAAUAUAUAAUAUACGAAAUGUAAGUAAAUGGAAAUUAAAAUUUGUAAAUAUAUAAUAUACAGAAAUAAUAAUAAUAAUAAUAAUAAUAAUAAUAAUAAUAAUAAUAAGUAAAUACACAAUUCAAAAAAUAGAAAUACUACAUUAAACAUCUAUCUUAAAAUUUUAAAAUUAAAUAUACAUUUAAAUAUGUAAAUAUAUAAUAUAUGAAAAAAGUAAGUAAGUACACAAUUUAAAAAAUGGAACUACUACAUUAAAAGUAACAAUAUAAAAAUGUUACUAUUACAUUAAACAAAAAAGAUGUAUAGUUUUACAUCAAACAAAUAAUAAGUAAAUACACAAUUAAAAAAUAGAAAUACUACAUUAAACAUAUAUCUUAAAAUGUAAAAAUUAAAUAUAUGUUAAUAUUAUGUAUAUUAAUGUAAAUUUAUUAUACGUAAUUUUACAUUAAAAUGUAAUUUUAUUUUCCAUUAAAAUGUAAUAAUGCCAUGUUUAUUAUGUAUAAUAAACUGUAUAUUUAUUAUGAUGCUAAAAUGUAAAAAUUAAAAAAUAGAAAUAUUACAUUAAACAUAUAUCUGAAAUAAUGUAUAGUUAACCAAGUGGUCUUGGCCUAGUGGUAAAGGGGUUCCAGCUGAAGCUUCCACCCUGGGUUUGAUUCUCCUUGGCCACCCAUAGAUGCCUUAAGUGGCAAGAAAACCCGGAUUUCUAUGGGCUUCUUGAUGAUUAGUCAUUGGGCCUAGAAAGCCUUUGGGAUCACACCAAGGUUUCCAAAAAAAAAAAGUAUAGUUUUACAUUUUAAUUAUUUUCAAAUAUUUUAAAGAAAUGGUUACAUCAAAAUAUUAGUAAAUAUUAAAUUAAACAUAUAUCUGAAAUAAUGUAUAGUGUUAUAUUUUAAUUAUUUCCAAAUAUUACAUCUAUCUGAAAAAAAACAAAUUAGAAUAAGUAAAUAUAAAAUUUUAGAAAAUAAUACGAAGUAAAAAUACAAUACAAGAAAUGAAAAUAUUACAUUAAAUAUCUAUUUGAAAAUGUGUAGUUUUACACUUUUAUUAUUUCCAAAUAUUUAUCUCGCUCUGAGAUACAUCGCUAUAAAAUCUAUUUUCCCACCAACAUCAACCUCACACACAUCAAAAAAGACUCCAGCAAAAAAAAAAAUUCCUCCACCAUCGAUCCUUGCCGUCCCAAAAACGGUCGACGACAUAUGUCGAUGUGUGGUGUUACUUCUAUGAACUAAAUCAGAUCAGCAAGACAAUAUUGGGAGCAGACCAACGGAUCUCAGGAGAAAAUUCUUAAAUUUAUAUAUGAUGAGUACAAAGCUUUGGAGGUGAUUUGGAAAUAAGCACUAUAUGAUGAUUUACUUAUUAACAAUGUAAAUGAAGAAAACUUGGAAGGUACUGGCUUGGCAAUUCAUUCAGCUCAACUCUGCUAUGGGGGAUGCCCCCUCUCAGCUAAAAACAGCAGAUACCCCCAAUAGUGCAGCUUUAAGGACCGACAAAGUUGAGGUACAACCUAAAUAACAUCAAUGAAUAUAUUUGCACACGUUAUUUAAAAUGUGUUUUCCAUUUAGCAAACUCUAAUAAUCAGUAGUCACACAUGAAUAAUUCAUGGUUCCAUCGUGUCUUAUACGUGAACAUAAUUGCACUAACAUUUGAAUUGUCUUGAAGAUUCUGCUGCAAUUGAGUAUGAUCUAAUGUACAUUUGAACUGAUAAAAUAAAUUGAUUGUUGCAGCUACUUCUCAAUCUUCAGUCUAAUGAUUCUUCUCAACUAUCCCAUGUCAGAAAAAGAAACAAAAAUGUAGGAGAUAAUAUGUUUUAAGAAAGUUGAAAUCCUUGUAUAUUUUAUAAUAGUACAUAAAACUAAAUAAACUAUUUGAUUUGUCAUAUAAGGUAAAUGCAUUGUAUUUAUCUUAUGUAUAUUAAUUUAUAAGAUUUUUUGUGAUUAUCUAAAGUUACAUUUAUGAAUUUUGAAAUUAAAAUUAGUUACGAUUUGGCUUUUCAUAAAAUAAAUAGAACAAUGUUAUCACACAUUUGAACAAAAUAUGUUAUACCAUAAAAUAGAUAUGAGAAUACAAAAUUUAUUAUCCUGAUCAUGGUUCCCUUACAAAGUUAUUAAACUUUUGUACUUUGAAUAAGGGUUUAUGAUAUAACGACUGAUAGAAUAUCACUGACACAUGAUACAAAUACACAUGAGCUUUUAUUAUAUGGUAUAUAGCAGUAUAUAUGAAUUUAUGUUUUCGAUAUCAUAAUGUGACACUAUCUGUAAAUGGCGUAAGAUAGAAGAACGUUAAGAUAUAUUUAGUUUUGAAAUUAAGUAAACCAAACUGAGCACAAAUCAUAACUGACAAAUUUCAAUUAAUUUGCUUUGAUAUUAUAUAUUGGAUCUAUUAAAAGGUAAAAAAAUCAAAAGAUAAAUAAAAUCAUUUAUUAUGAUAUAGUUAGAGAAAUACAAGGGAAGACCAAAAAAAAAAGUUAGUCUAAUGAAAGGUCUAAACAAGUUUCGUAGGUAGAUUUUUUAGGAGUUCUUUCCUUUUAAUAGUAUAGAUUCAUACGCCCACUACGAGAUCUUCAAUUGCGUUGUUUCGUGGCGAUAUCGGGUAUAAAUAGGUUCAUAUCCCUCUUUUGAGAAUCUGCGAUCUCAACAUCUCUCUGCCACUCAUCUCUUAUACUCAUCUCUCUUUAUGGCUGAUUGUUCUGAGUUAUUAUUUCCCGGCGAACUGUUAUUAUUUUCCUGUGAACUUUGUCCUGUUUAUUAGCACAGAUAUUGUUUUCUGGUUGGGAGGACAGAAAUUGUCAAUAAACGCGGCGAGCAAAAAUCAAUAUCUUUCCUUUUUUUUUCUGAUGAUAUUUAAGCUUUAUAGUAUACAAUACCACUAACUAUUUGCUUUACCUUUUUCGAUCCUGAUGUUGUGUUAAGAGUAUGAUGCAGUAUCUACGUUUGUAUGAGAUGAUCAUGGGAGUAUUUAGGUAAACUUAAAUCCCACAUUUUUUUUCAGGUAUAACGUUUUCUCUGCGGUUACAUUGCUGCAUAUCUUUUUAAAAAACGGGGUCAUCAAUGUUUUCAUAUCAAAUUUUAAGCCAUUUAAGGCUACACUUUCAGGGCUGUGACUUUGUAUGUGGUUCAUGGUGGGCACAGAUUAGCUUUGGAGAAGAACGAACAACGAUUGAUGCAAAAGGUUUUGGUUCAUCAAAUGGCGUCUUCGUUAGCUAAAGAUUCAAAGUUUGUUGUUGCUCUUGCGGCUGCUACUGGGAGUUGAUGGAGAGGUGUAGAACAUGAAGCUUUCAUUGGAUGUUUUUGUUUUGGUUUCUCAUCCAUCGAAAACGGGAUGGCUUUUUCUACUCUAUCGAAUUUUAGGUGUAACUUGGAAAAAUAUGAAAACUGAAGUGAAAAUCAUAUGCAUUCAAGAAAAUUUAAUUGCCAUUUGUUUUAAGUGAUUAGAAGAAGGUUGAUUCAGUUGAAACAACCAAGGGAAAAGAUUUGUGAAAAUAUGGUCAUCGCUUGGAAGCAAGACAUCCCUUAUCAAACAUGCUACAAUAAUACAAUGAUCUGUUAUCUCUGUUCGGCUAUACAAUUUUUUUAAAGAAAACCAGUUAACUCAUAUAUCUAUAUUAUUAAAACUGAAGUACACUUUAGUAAUGUUUGGAAACAUGAAUAGUACUAUAACUGAAAAUUGUUUGGAAACGAAGAUAGCAGUACUACAUUAAUUGUAUUUCCAUAUUUCACUCAUAUUAAUUAUAUUGUCUUAACAAUAUUUCACAUCAUUAAUUAUAUUACCAUAAUAAUAAUAGUGUAGAUUUUAUUUAGUAGUUAAUCAAUAUUAGUUUUGUGUCAAUUAUAAAAUCAAAAAAAGUAAAAUAACUGAGUUUUGUAUAAGGUUAAGCGUUUGUUUUAAUUUGUUUUACUAUAACAUUUUUUUUUUCAAUCAGUGAAAAAUUACGUAGCCAAAAACAUAAUUCAAAAACAUGUUUAGUGAAUAAAAUCAUAACUUAAAUCAAAAUAAUAAAAAUGAAUUACAUUCAUUGUCACUUAAUUUUUCACUCAAUAUAAUUGCUUACUAAAUAAAAAAAACUCUUUCAGUUUCACUUAAUUUAGCAAAACACAUAAAAAAUAUCAUUUAUAUUAGUUUAUAAAAUCAGUUAGGCAUGAACACUAAAUAUCCACUUAGGUACGAGUCGUUCCUUUCGGGUAUCGUUUUAUUUUGUUUUAAAAUUACUCACUCCUUGAAUAUUAUAAAUUUAUGUGUAGGUUUUGAGUUGAAUCCUUUUGAGUCUGGAUGAGUUUGGUUCUGAUGUAUAUGACCCUAAAAUAUCUAAAUAACCAAUGUAUUUGAAACGGGUUUGGAUAUUUGUACCAAAAAUAACCAUAUUAUCUGAUUCGAUCCGGAUCUUUUGAAUACAAUUAGUUAUAUUACGACAUAUCUAAAAUAUAAAACACUAAUUAUGAAAAACAAAUAUUAAUGUAUAAAAAUAUAAGUAUAGUUUUAUUUUAGUAAUUUCAUUAAUUAUAUUACUUUAACAAUAUAUCACAUCAUUAAUUAUAUUUACCGUAAAAGUAAUAAUGUAGAUUUUUAUUUAUUAGUUAAUCAAUAUUAACUUUGUGCAAUUAUAAAAAAAAAAUAAAAAUGUAAGAUAACCGAGUUUUGCAUAUGGUUAAUAGUUUGGUUUAAUAUGUUUUACUAAAACUUUCUUUUGUCUUAGUUCCAAUUGGUGAAAAAUUACAUAGCAAAACACAUAAUUCAAAGGCAUAGUUUAUAUGAACAAGAUAAUAAUUUAAAUCAAAAUAAUUAAAAAGUAUUACAUUUAUUAUCACUUAAUGUUUCACUUCAUAUAACUAUUUUAUUAAAUAAAAAAUUCUUUCUAUUUUUCUUAUUUUUGCCAAAUAUAUAGAAAGAGUUUCCUUUUUAAUCUAUUUGCAAAAUCAGUUAAGUAUGGACAUUCGGAUACUCAUUGAGGUACAAGUUGUUUCUUUCGGGAUUAAUUUUUUUGGAUUUUUAAAUUAGGCGCCACUUGGAUAUUAUAAAUUUAUGUAUGAUGCUUGAGUUGGAUCCUCUCGGGUCUGAAUGAUUUUGAUUUUGAUGUGUAGAAAUAUAAAAAUAUUUAAUUAACCAAUGUAUCUGAAAAGAGUGUAUAUUUGUACCAAAAAUAAUCUUAUUACCCGAUUCAAUCCAAAUAUUUUGAAUACAAUUAGUUAUACGACGACACAUCUUAAAUAUAUAACACUAAUGAUAAAAUAACAAAUAAUUUAUAAAAGUGUAAAAAUUAACACCCGCACGGACGUGCGGGUCAAUCUCUAGUUUUUAUUAUAUUUCAAACAAGGACUGUGAAAAAACAGUAAGUCUAAAGAUGAUAUUUACACGAGUACACAUACUGGCACAUAGCUAUCUCAUGACUUUAGUUACACUUCCAACAAAACCAACAGCUUUAGUCACUGAAGGUAGCGCUAGAAAUAGUAAGUCAAGUAAUUGAAAAUAAGUUACAUAUCCUCUUAAGAAAUCUAUUCAGUUUCGCAACAAGACUCCAAAAUACGUUCUCUAAAUAUAAUCACAAUAUCAAACUGGAUCUCAGCUUUUUUAAAGGAAAGAACAACAACGACAAGCUCAAUGGAGACAUGGCGGUAUAUAACAUUCAAAAAACAAGCAAAUAGCUACGAAAGAUAUAUACAAAUUAAAACAAAAGAUAUACCAUUGCUAUUAAGAACAUGUAAAGACACAAUCAACCAAAAUAAUUCAAUAACUGAAUGUAUCUUGAUCCAAAAUUAUAGCACACAAUACAUUUUAAACUAAUACAUAUAUUGUAUCAUGUUUUUUCUGUUCCAAAAUAAAUUUAUAGUAAAAUUUUAAAAUAAAAUAAUAGCUUACUUGGUAUAACAAACGAAAACAAUACAUGAGGUAAUAGAAUAAGUAAAACCGCCACUAACUAUACGCUGAAACUGAAUAAAAUUCUAAUUUAUAUCGAUUGUAUAGUACAUUUAGUAAAUAUGUUAAUACAAUCUACCAAAAGUUAGGCAAAAUAAAUUCACAGUCAAAAUUUUAUUUAUUUUUCUUAUUUACUAAAAAAAUAUUUAAAAGAAACUAUUAAAAUAAUCUAAAGUCUAAUUGGAUAAAACAAUAAAUUAGUUAUAUAUAUAAGGAGGCCAUUAUUAAAAACUAUUUUAAAAUGUAACAAGUGAAUUUUAUUUUUGAAACCUAAUAAGUUAUUGGGAUAAUAUUGUUUAUUUAGUCUUCUAAUAUAAUAAUAUAUAAAAUUAUCAGUCAUACAUUUACUUAAUAUUGAUUAUGUUUUGAUUCUGAUUUCUUAAACAAAUAAUUUCCUACUAUAUAUUCAUAUUCAAUUAUUUAAAUUAUUAAUUUAAAAAUAAAAUAUGUAAAAGAAAUAAAAAAUACAUGUAAAUUCAAGAUAUAAAAAAUAUAAAAUAAUCAAUGUUUUGAGUAUUAAACCUAACCACAACAAUACAACUCAAAUCUACUUACUAUAUAUAAAAAAGUUGAGCAAACAUUUAAGAAAAAUGUAUACCAUUUCAAUUAUGAAAAUCGUGUCAUGCUCAUACAAACUUAUAAUCUCUAACAAAAUUAAUAAAAAUAAAUAAUUUUAGAUAUAAAUAUUCGAAGAUGAUAUAAAAAUGUGUUCUCAUUAUAAAAAAACACAAACACAAGAAAAUAUAAUUACUAAAACAGUAUUAUGUCAUAAAAUAUAUAUGACAACAAAUAAUAAAAACAAAAACAAGUUAGAAAAAUAAACGAACAUCAAACGUUUAAGUAAAAUGAAUAUAAUUUUCUUAAUCACUUAUAAUUUUCUAAAACAUAAAAAUCAUUAUUAUACAUAUCUCUUGCAAAUACAAACCUAAAACACCCAUAAAAUCAUACAAAAAUAAAAACUUAGAUCACAAGCAAGUUUAUCCCGUCCGUAGGGCAGGCCUACCCUAGUAAGUAAAUAUACAAUAUAAAAAAUUGAAAACCAUAUCAAACAUUUAUCCAAAAAUGUAUAGUUUCUUGUUUUUUCUAAGGAAAUAUGUAUUCACAUAAACAUACAAUUCAUAAUUUUGUUGUUAGAAUACAACGUCCAAAAAAUAGUUAUAUAGUUAAAAUUUGAAAAUCAAAAUAGGUCCGUGCGUAGCGCGGGUUAACUCCUAGUCCCAAUAUAUAAAAGGGAUUGAUGGUGAGCUUUUAAGCUAUCUAUAUAUGCAUGGAAAAUCAACUAAUGAGAAAGUUUGAUUUUACCACGUCACCAUUGCUAAAAUAGAGUGGACUUUCGUAUGGGUUAUAAGAAAAUUAUCAGUCUGGCCCACCUCAGCCGAUGAAGAGAAACGACAUAGAAACCUUUAUUGUUUCACGCUUCAGACUUUCUUCUCCCAACUCUUCCACUUCAUUUUCUCCAAAAUCUGAUUUUUGUCCUCUGUUACCUUCUCUUCAAUAAUGAUCUUAGGAACAUCAUCUUCCCUGCCCCUGCAGCUUAUGGAGUAAUCGCUUAUGGGCCUUUGAAGUCCCUAUGCCCCUUUCCCUUUAAUGAAAUGUGAAUUGACGAAAAUGCCCUCGGUUUAUUAAAAAAAAAACAAAAUUCUGAAUGUGGUUCGGGUUUCAUGGAGCGGUUCUGGUUAUUGCGGUUUGGUUGGAAUACAGUUUGAUUUUUAUCAAUUUAUUAAAAUAAUAAUAAUUAAAAGUGGAAAAAAAAAUAACCGCAGCUCCCCCUCCUCAAUCCCACAGCUUCUCCAUCGCCGCCUUCUGUCGGUAAACCAAUAGUUUCCCGAUUAGAUAACUACAUUAAAAUGGUAUUUUCAGUUUGGUUGGAGAUGGUUUGAUAAAGCUGGUUGUUGACGUGUUUAUUUAGCACGAAAACAAAUCUCACAAGACAUAGCUUGUUCAGAAUCAAAACUAGUCUAUCUAAAAGAAGCAAAGCCAAUAAAAUCUGAUAAGAAGGAUGUCCAAGUCGUCGAUGCCAUAGUUCUGAUGUUGAAGAAUUCUUAACCUCAGUGCGAUGUACUCGUGCAGCCCUGACCCCUGUAAAGUAAUACACCCCUCACGUUCUCCAAUCAGGGUCUUCAUAAAACGAUCAUUCAAGACACAAAGAGUAUCAGUAAAAAUAGCAAUGCAACCAAUUUGUUUGAGUAAACACGACACUAAGAUCAGUGUGCACUUAAAGUCAGGCACACAUAGAACAUAUGAUAAAUAGUAAUCUUUGCUUAAAACAAGCGUGCAUGUUUUUCCUGCUUGGAAGAACUGUCCAUUAAGAAAUUUGACCUAAGAAGACAAUAUACCGGUAACAUCACUAAGAAGAGAUAAGUUUUCCGUCAUGUGAUGAGAUGCGCCAAUGUCAAUAAUGACAUCUGCAAUAGUUGGUUUACCAAAGAUUUUUUCGGUUGAUAUUGUUGAUUUAGUGUUCUGUAGUUGCUGGAGAAGUUGAAUAAUAUGGGCAAUAGGAUCAGCAUUCAUAGAGUUGGAUGUUGUGGUGUUGUUGGAGACGGAUCUAGUUGAGUUAGAACGUCCACGACCACGAUUACUAGAGUUAGAGGACCGGCCUCCUCUUCCUCGUUGAGGUGAACCAUAAGAAGAACCACUCAUGAUGUUGUAUUCUUUUGUUCAAUCCACGAAUCCGGAUAUCCAUGAAGAAGAUAGCACUCAGUGUUGUCAAGAGCUUUCCGAGAGCAGUGGGUGCACAUACAAUUUGGAUCACAAGUUCGGAAGGUGAUAGCUAAGGCUUGAUGCAUAUAUGUUUUAGGAAGAUGGGUUUGUGGAUAAAACACUAUAGCAUCUGGUUUCGGUUCUUUAGAACGUACUGUAUUAAGCUAUUGUUCUUCUGGUAGAACCCUGGAGUAGACAUUAUUAAUAUCUGGUAGCUGAUCCUCAUCAAUGAUUUGAGAACAUAUGUUCCUAAAUCGAGACUCAUCAAGUCUGAAUAAGAACUUAUGAACACAAAAUUCUUCGCGUUUUUUCUUGAUAUCUGCGGAAGCUUCAAGUGAACAUGAUCGAGUAGUUUUAAGGUUGUCGAGUUUUUCCAAUAGCUUGGUGAGACGUCCGUAGUACUCAAUUACUGUUUCACCAUGCUGCUGACAAGUAUUUAUUUCAUCACGCAAUUUAUGAAUUCAGACACCAUUCUUGACUAAGAAACGUCGUUGAAGAUUAUCCACAGCUUAUGUGCCUCAGGUACAAAUGAGACAGUUGUUUUUUUCUUAGGAUUUACCGAAAUCCGAAUCCAACCAACCAGCAUAGAAUUAGUUGCUAGACAUCGAGAGAGGCCUGGUUCUGUGGAGAGUUUCAUAAUUGUUCCGCCUAAGAAACCAAGCUUUUGUUUUGCUAUUAUGGAAUUAGAGAGCUUUGUCGUGCAUUCUGUAUAAUUAUCGCCUCGAAACAAAACCAAAGUAAUAAGAGGUCCUGAAAGAUAGUAUGAUCUAGAUGAAUCAUCAGUUGUAGGUAGGGACGCCAAAGUCGUAGUAAAUGUAGAGAAUGUAGUUUCAGCCAUGCUCCUUGAAGAUCGAGAAACACAAUAUGUAAGAGAAUUAGAUCUUUUGCUCUUAUACAAUGAAAUCUUAUAAGAUUGAAAAUUGUGAUAUUUGUAUUGUGUUAUUAUCAAGGGAAUGACCGUUAAUUAUACAAGAGAAAGUCAUAAAUAGAUAAGGACUAUGAAUCUACAUACAUCAUUAUCUAUAGAUGGAUAUAGAAGUACAUAUGAACUUUGUUAGUUCUUUUAUCUAAUAAUUUCUACAUAAACAAUAGUUCAAUGUAGCAGUCUAAAAACAAACUUCAUCUAUAAAAUUUUCUCAAAAAAGAAAGAAAGAAAACUUCAUCCAUAAGAAUGUGUAAUAAUAAUAAAAUAUGUUCAUCAAUACUAUUAAUUCAGAGCCUUGUUUUUUUUAUCUACUUAUAAAUAUUGUCAUUUAACUUCUGAACCUAUUCUCAUCUUAUUGGAAAUAUAUAUCAUUCUCUAUAAUUCAGUUACAUUCUUUCCUAACUGAUUCCCUAUAUAACAUUCUUUCCUAACUGAUUUAUAUUAACCAAUUGCAUACCAAACCAAAACAACUUCUGUUCUUGAGACUAAACCAAAAAUAAUCACACCUAAGAAUAGAGUAAACCAAAACCUGAUUGGUAAAAAAAUAGAGUAAAUGAGAGUAAAACACUUUUACUCUACAAGGUCUAUACAAUCACACCUAAGAAUAUCUACAUCAAGUACUGUAUAUGUUUGAGAAGAACAAAUUGAGUUUUGAUUACUUUGAUUUAAUAAAAGACAUAUAAAUUUGCACGAAAAAAAAAAAGAGAAAACGACGGACGACAUACUUAAAUGAUUUCAGGUAAAGUGGGUAAUGAAUAUAAACCGACUCGAUGAUCCAAAUAGUUUCACGUGGCAAGAUCUGAAUAAAACGAGACGAUACUAGAAAGUAAAAACAAUACGAUUCUCGGUGAGAAGACGGAAGUUAGGCGGGGUCUUUGGUUCGUCGUCGUGUACGUGAGCACACCGGAACUUAACCCGGACAUAUUGCAGAAAACUAAACCGGAUUUGAUAAUUGGCAGUCGGUCCGGUUCCAAUCGAUUUAUGGAAAUUUGAUAGAAGGCAGUAUCCGAUCCCUGGGUAUUUUGCUGAGGGGAAACCGAUUUCGAUUUGAAUGAUUUCAUGUUGUUGUUGCUGUAUGGAAUGGAGACUCUAUGCUGGUGAAAAUCUUCGGCUUUGAUUCUUGUUUUCGGGCUGUGUGAUUUGAGCUGAGCUGCUGCUUCUCGUUUUAAGAUAUGGAUUUGGUUGCUAGUUGCAAGGUAUUGGUUCGAUAUGUUUGCUUAUUGCUCGAUCAUUUGAAAAUGCUCGAGCAGAGGUCCUUUGUUUUAGUAGUGUGAUCGGCGUGGAUAUUGAUUGAUUUAUUUUGCCAUGAUACUGAGUAGAAAUUGCUGCUUUUAUAAGCUCUACUUUGGUUAUAUGAUUUGUUCUUUGUUUAUUUAUGGUGCCGUGGUGAGUUGAGUUGAUGAUGGGUGGUUCACAUGCUAGUGCUGAUUCCACUGAUGGUUAUUGUAUCGGCGCAGUCUCGUUUGCAUAACAUGCCGAGAUUAAGAUUCAGUGUUUGUCUGUCUAUGUGUCUUAGUCAAUCUCAGAGUCUGUUUAGAUGACUUUGCAGGGACAACCUUGUUCAUGGCUUUUGCAGUCAAUGUUUUGUUUUCAUCUUUGUUUAGUUAAGCUCAAAGUCUUUUUUUUUUACAUAUAUAUAUCUGAUAUGUUUUCAGGAGAAACUUGCUUAUUUCCGAAUAAAAGAGCUCAAGGAUGUGCUCACUAAGCUGGGACUUUCUAAACAGGGAAAAAAGCAGGUAUAUAUAAACUUUUCUACCAAUCUUGCAAUGAUCAGAAUUUAUCAUCUAUGUUUGGGCUGUAUACUUAUACUUGUCUCAAUUUGAGUGUUAUAAAUUGUGACAGAGUUGUUGAUAGUUAAUUCCUAGCGUGUCCAUCUACGUAAAAAAGAGGAUUAUCUUCAUGGCCUCAUAAGCUUAACUGGGGUUUUAAUUUGGAUUGUCGUUGUUCUGAUUUGUUUGGCAUUUGGCUUGUGCAGGACCUUGUUGAGAGGAUCUUCGCCAUUCUUUCCGAUGAGAAAGGUAUUUUGGGUGCCCAUUGUUUAUUUGUUCAUUCCUAACUGUGACCAAGAUAAAGUUCAGUGCUGGCCCACGCCCACCAUCUUCUGAUAAGCAUUUGGUUCCAUUACUUACUGUUUACUGACAGCCGCCAGGUUGGGGUCUAAAAAGGAGGCCGUGGCAAGGGAAAAAGUUGCAAAACUAGUGAACGAUGCAUACAGGUGAGUGCUUGCUUUAGCCAUGGAUCUCUUAUUGCAAUUUUUCCCUUGUGCACAGUUUUAGAAUUUUCUUUCCACCGUUGUGUUUCCACAGGAGAAUGCAAGCAUCUGGGGAAGGUGACUCGCCAUCAAAAGGACAAGUAAGUUCAGACAUCAGUAAUGUGAAAGCUAAGGGAGAGCUUGAAGAUUCCUUUCAACCAGAUGUUAAAGUUCGGUGUAUUUGCGGAAGCUCACUGGAGACAGAGUCAAUGAUACAGGUAAGUCUAUGACACAGAUGUUUAAUCGAACUCUUUGUUGAGUUAGCAGUAGCUCUUGGUGUUUUAUGAUUCAGUAAAAAAAAAUUUGGUGAUACCAUGUGGAUUAAAUUAUGGUUUGUAAUUUUCAGUGCGAGGAUCCGAGAUGCCAUGUCUGGGAGCAUGUUGGGUGUGUUAUUAUCCCGGAGAAGCCUAUGGGAGGAAAUCCACCGCUUCCUGAUUCAUUUUACUGUGAAAUAUGCAGACUUACCCGAGCUGACCCGUAAGAUGCUCCCGAACAUUCCCUUCUCUCCUGACUCUUUAUUUGUAUAUCGCUUUGAUACAUAAAUUCUGUCCAGCUUGCUAGAUUUUCCUCUUUUUCUUUGUUCAUGUGUCCACCACUGAAGAAAAUGCUAACUUUGUUGCAAAAUUGGAAUGUGAUCUAUAGGUUAACCAGAUUAUGAUUUAUUAGUUUAUUUGUGUCUGUUUUACAUGGUCUAUAAUGUGCAGGUUUUGGCUCACGGUGGCACAUCCAUUGUUCCCAGUGAGAUUGACUGCUACGAACAUCCCAACUGACGGGUAAGUAUACCAAACUUUAUAUUCAUGCUUGUUAAAUAGAUUAUGUACUUUCAACCGUUCUUAAAAGUACAAUUGGUAGCACUUCUUAGCAUGGAAAGCUGAGGAACUUCUGCAUGUGUCGUAUUUUUUUUCCUGUCUAGGAAUCAAGCGUUAGAUUUCAAUUGAGGGAUGGGGCGAAACCUAGUUACUUAGCGUUUGAGAUGAACUUAUCUUCUUCCUAAUAUUUAGAAAAAAAUGAAUCAUAGCUGUCUCCUAGACAAAUUCACAACCCCUGCUUAAACUUUAUGUUGAUGUUUGUUCUUUCUCUUAAUACUCUGCAAUUUUUUCAGUACGAACCCAAUGCAGAGUGUGGACAGGACAUUUCAAAUAACUAGAACAGACAGGGACUUAUUGGUGAAACAGGAGUACGAUGUUCAGGUUAUUGGCUUUACUAGUAGGUUAGAUAUUUUAACUUUAUAAAUGCGUAUUUUCUAAUUGGCAGUGCAUUCUGCCUUGUUUGUAGGCUUGGUGUAUGCUUUUGAAUGACAAAGUUCUGUUUAGGAUGCAAUGGCCUCAAUACGCUGAUCUGCAAGUCAAUGGUAUGCAAGUUUAAUUCACAGUUCAGAUUUGAAUGUAAACUAAUUGUGUCUUGUCAGCAUCUCCUUAAUAAAGUGAGUAACAUGGGUUUCAAACACAAUCGUACAUGUAUAUUAAUCACUGGGAUAAAUUUUCUUUACAAAAUCUAUUAACUUUCCUGGUGUUGUAAAACUCGGUAUAUAUGUUCUAUGCUAGCUGAUAUGGGUUCAUGUUAAAUCGUUGCCAUCCUAUAGGUGUACCUUUUCGUGCUAUUAACCGACCUGGGUCACAGCUUCUUGGGGCCAAUGGCCGUGAUGAUGGACCUAUUGUAAGUUUUUCAUCCUGAUGAGCAACAUUUCUUUAUUUUUAUAUAUGACUAUGCUAUCUUAAAGAUUAGUCUCUUGCUAUUCGUAAUCUACUACGCUCACAUCGUAUUAUUUUGCGCAGAUUACACCUUGUAUUAGGGAUGGAAUUAACAAGAUUUCCCUGAGUGGAUGUGACUCCCGCAGGUUUUGUUUGGGUGUAAGACUUGUGAAGCGAAGGAGUCUGCAACAGGUACACUUAUAUUUACUGCAUGAAUAAAAUGAAAAAAAAAAAAAUCCAAUUAACUAAAAAAUAAAGCCAUUACUUAAUUCAAAAAUGACACCUUGUUGGUAGAAAUCAGAGAAUUGUUUUCCAAAGGAAAAUGUGCUAAAGUGUUUAUCCAUUACCAUAUCUAUCGUUUCUCAAUGCUCAGAACAUUAGCUAUUUGUGCUUGUCCUUUAAAUUCUAUCUUAUUUUUCAUUUAGGUCCUAAAUAUGAUUCCAGAGGAGGCCAAAGGCGAACCUUUUGAAGUUGCUCUUGCGCGAGUACGUAGAUGCAUUGGAGGUGCAGCUGGAAAUGAUAAUGCGGACAGUGAUAGUGAUAUUGAGGUCGUUGCUGAUUUCUUUGGUGUUAAUCUUCGGUGUCCUGUAAGUAAUUUGUAGCUCAUUUCAAUAGGUUGUUGUAAUCGCUUAGUUUUUUGUUUACCUUAUUAACUCAUUUCUGAUUGUCAUUAGAUGAGCGGUUCUAGGAUGAAAGUUGCUGGGAGAUUCAAACCCUGUCUACACAUGGGAUGUUUUGACCUUGAGGUGUUUGUGGAGCUGAAUCAACGUUCCAGAAAGGCAGGUAUUUUAUCAUAGUCUACAUAAUUAGGUUGUUCAUAUUUUUUACUGAUUUUAUUUGUUAUGUGGUUUGAAAAUGCAGUGGCAGUGUCCUAUUUGUCUGAAGAAUUAUUCUCUGGAGCAUAUAAUCGUGGACCCUUAUUUUAACCGAAUCACAUCAAAGGUACAUUUUCAUCGAUAUUAGAAUUCUUGAUUUUUAUAUUAUUAGCAAAUUUAUAAAGACGUCUUCCUUGGCAGAUGAGACAUCUUGAUGAAGAGUUGACUGAGAUUGAAAUGAAACCUGAUGGUUCUUGGCGUGGGAAGUUCAAAAAUGAGAGUGAGCGCAGGGAUUUAGGGGCACUCUCACAAUGGCACAAACCUGAUGGUAGCCUCUUCCCCAUGGUUGAUGAGAUUAAACCCAAGAUGGAAAUGCAAACAACAGUUAAACAAGAAGGUUACUCAGAUGGGCCAGCCCCUUUCAAACUUGGAAUAAGAAAGAAUCGCAAUGGCAUUUGGGAAGUCAGCAAACCUAAUAAUAAUGGUUUAUCUUCUAGUAAUAGGCAAGAGAAGCUUGGGUACCAGGAGUUAAAUGUUAUACCAAUGAGCAGUAGUGCCACUGGAAGUGGUAAAGAUGGUGAUGACCCUAGUGUAAACCAGGAUGCUGUAGGAAGCUUUGAUUUUGGAAACAACGGGAUGGAACUUGACUCUCUCUCCAUGAAUGUAGAUUCAGGCUAUAAAUUUCCUGACAGUAAUCAUCAACCACCACCAGCUAGUAAUAACGACGUUAUCGUUCUAAGUGAUUCCGACGAAGAAGAUGAUGUUGUAAUCACCGCAGGACCUGCCUACAAUGAGAAUCAGGCUGAUGGCGGGGUAAGUUUCCCAUUGCACCCGGUUGGUAUCACUAACUCCUAUAAUGAAGAUCACCAGGUAGCUGCUGCAGGCAAUUCCGGCUUGGGUCUUUUCACAAACGAUGAUGAUGAUGAUUAUGAUAUGCGCCUAUGGCAGUUGUCUUCAGAUGCCCACGGAGGCCCGGGGUUCCAACUAUUUGGAUCUGAUGCUGAUGUAUCAGAUGGCUUAGCCGGUUUGCAGCCUGGUCCACUGAACUGUGACCCUGCAAUAAAUAGUGGUUACUCGAUGGCUCCAGGUACGUCUACUCCUAUGGUUCCAGAGUCGGUUGGAAGAUCCGAAGCAGAUGCAAACGAUGGACUAUUCGACAAUCCUAUGGCAUUUAGUAGAGACGACCCCUCGCUUCAGAUAUUUCUGCCAACAAGACCAGAGACAUCAGCUCAGUCGGAUUUUAGAAAUGAGGCUGGGAUGUCAAACGGAGUCAACAAUGAUGAUUGGAUCUCUCUGAGGCUUGGUGAUCAUGGUGAGACGGUAGGUGCAAAUGGGCUUAACGAAAGCAAUCUAGUAUCAACGAGAGAAGGUGCUUUGGAUACUUUGUCAGAGACUGGUUCGUUCCCCCGACAGAAACUGAUUUUCUCUUUUUUUUUUCUUAUACGUCCUUAGUACUGCUUGUUGUGCUUAUGCCGAAUUUGUACUGUUGCAUUAAUAGGAAAGAUAUUGUAUCAAUGGGUAUUUGUUACUGACUGUAUUAAUUGCUUACUUGCAGCAUCGUUGCUUAUGGGGAUGAAUGACAACAAACAAGAGAAGGCAAGUAGACAACGAUCAGAGAGUCCGUUUUCAUUUCCUCGCCAGAAGCGUUCAGUAAGACCUCGGCUGUUUCUGUCGAUUGACUCAGACUCGGAGUGAUGUGAUUCGUCUGUUUGGAUGAGAGUACCACUGUAUCUAUAGCCUCGACUUGUUUAUGUUUUUUUUUUUUUUUGGGGAUAUGAUUUGGUGUCCUAUGAUUCUUUUUUGUAUACGCAUAUGCACAGAACAAUCAGAUGGAUCAUGGCAGCCAGAGUUUGGGAAUAUUUGCUUAAUUCUCUCCUCUGUGCUUGGAACCUUGAGGCUCUCAUGCAAGGUAGAAAAGAAGCCAAUCUAAGUUGUUGACAUCUCCAAACCUAGUGAAAUAAUUAGCUUGUCAGAAUCUGAAGUUUCUGUGUGGUUGCAGGUUGUUAUUUGGAAAGGAGAAGACAGGUUUACAUAAGUUGGUGAAAAUUUGAAGGAGACUUGUGAUGGGGUGUAUGUAUUUUCGAAAGGGUUUCUCGUUUUUUUUUUUCUUUUUCUUUUUGGGGUUAAUAACAGUUACGCGAAAGCUGUUGUAAAAUGAUAUGGGCCAAAACGAGAAACAGCAUAUGUAAAAAUGUAUGGCUUCCAAAUUAUAUUUUGUUUGUUGAAUAUAGGGAAAAAAUGUAAGCUAUUGGUCAUUUUGGAAAAGGGCAAAGAUUAUAUAACACGAGAUGGUGAUUUGUAACUUGAUUUGUUGGUCGUAAGAGAUGUAAUGUGGUUAACCCAUGGUAAUAGUAAUGCCUGCUCAGUGUUCCAACUUUGACAAGUUAAUUUAAGCUGUAGUGAGAGAAAACAACCCACAAAAGAAGACAGCUAAACAAAGGGGAUCACGGAACCUUAUGGACGAUGACUCAUUGCUCACAUCUCUUCUCUUUGUAAUUCCAUCCUUAUCACAAUUUCUUCUCCUUGUGUGUCAUUAUUUUAAUUUCAAUUGGAGCGUCCCCAUUCUUCUUGUAAUAAAAAAGCCGUAAAGCAUUGUGAGAUUCAUUAUACAAAAGAAAAAAAAAACUUUUUAACGUUGGAUCAUUCAUUCUUCUUCACCGAGCCGCAGAAAUAUCGAAGAUGCAGAGGCUUUUCGCAGCGAGAUCGGUUCUUGGUAACGCCGUCAAGACGCGGAGGAGGCAGCACUUGUCGUCUCUCUCUUCUUCUCUCCUCUUCGACGAAACUCAGCUUCAGGUUCCUUCCUGCGUUUGGUGGAAUAAAAUUGUUCUGUUUUUUUUUAUUAAUUAAUUAAUUAAUAUAGUGAUUGUACUCCUCUCUCCUUUUGUGAACUGCAGUUUAAAGAAAGUGUGUCCAAGUUUGCACAAGAUGUUAUCGCUCCUCAUGCCGAAAGAAUAGAUAAAACAAAUUCAUUUCCAAAGGUCUCUUUUCAUUCCCUCUUUCUUACCAUUUUCACCUCCCAAAAUCUAAUCUGUUUGUUUUUAUUUUGGUGAAAAAGGAUGUAAACUUAUGGAAGCUAAUGGGUGAGUUCAAUCUCCAUGGAAUCACAGCGCCAGGUAACAACAUGUCACUCUCUGUCCACCACUGAUCAUAUUAAGCUCAAUCAUGUUUUAAAAUCCUGCAGAGGAAUACGGAGGUCUUGGUCUCGGUUACUUGUAUCAUUGUAUAGCAAUGGAGGAAAUAAGUCGGGCCUCGGGCUCAGUUGCUCUCUCUUACGGUGCCCAUUCCAACCUUUGCAUCAAUCAAUUGGUCUCUACAUUUGCUCCCUAAACUAAACUAAACUACUUUUGCAAUAAUAAUCUGAGGUUUUAUUCACAAACAUUUAUCACUAUCACUACUUCUACAGGUGCGGAAUGGAAAUACUUCACAAAAGCACAAAUAUUUGCCCAAGGUACGGUUUCAUCUGGUCACUGCUGCUUUGAAUAGUUUGAUUCCUCAACUGUUUUUCCAUGUUUCUCAUUUAACUAAUCUAAUGCUUUUGUUGUUAUGAAGCUGAUCAGUGGAGAGCAUGUUGGGGCUCUUGCGAUGAGUGAACCCAAUGGUAAUAAUAUACUAAUAAUAUUAUCCUUUGGAUGAAGAUGUUAGAGAGAGCGCAAACACCCAUAUUCCUAAACGCUUUGUUCUGAUUUUGGUUACAGCCGGUUCGGAUGUUGUCAGCAUGAAAUGCAAGGCUGAUAAAGUUGAUGGUGGCUUUUUAAUAAAUGGCAACAAGAUGUGGUGCACUAAUGGUCCCUCUGCUCAAACACUGGUUCUCCUUUACUUCUGAAUUUUUCAUCCUUUUUUUUUGUUUAAUAGCAUACAUAAUUUCUGUUACAUUUUUCUACUUUGUUUUUUGGUUCAAUCAGAUUGUGUACGCCAAAACUGAUACAAAAGCAGGCUCUAAAGGAAUCACAGCUUUCGUUAUAGAGAAGGGAAUGGCCGGGUAUGUUCUCUUUCUUUUUUUUUUAUAAACUCAGUCUUGUUUAAUAAAGUUGAAACUGCGCCUUUCUGUGAUCUUUCGUAAAGAAAAGAGAAAGGAGUUGAGAG